rnacentral:rRNA from 1 species
UUGUUGGUAAGGUAAAAGCUUACCAAGGCUUCGAUCAGUAGCUGGUCUGAGAGGACGACCAGCCACACUGGGACUGAGACACGGCCCAGACUCCUACGGGAGGCAGCAGUGGGGAAUUUUGGACAAUGGGGGCAACCCUGAUCCAGCCAUGCCGCGUGAGUGAAGAAGGCCUUUGGGUUGUAAAGCUCUUUCAGCCGGAACGAAACGGUUACGGAUAACACCCGUGACUACUGACGGUACCGGAAGAAGAAGCACCGGCUAACUACGUGCCAGCAGCCGCGGUAAUACGUAGGGUGCGAGCGUUAAUCGGAAUUACUGGGCGUAAAGCGUGCGCAGGUGGUUUUGUAAGUCAGAUGUGAAAGCCCCGGGCUCAACCUGGGAACUGCGUUUGAAACUACAAGACUAGAGUGUGGCAGAGGGGGGUGGAAUUCCGCGUGUAGCAGUGAAAUGCGUAGAGAUGUGGAGGAACACCGAUGGCGAAGGCAGCCCCCUGGGUCAACACUGACGCUCAGGCACGAAAGCAUGGGGAGCAAACAGGAUUAGAUACCCUGGUAGUCCAUGCCCUAAACGAUGUCAACUAGUUGUCGGGCCUUUACGGGCUUGGUAACGUAGCUAACGCGUGAAGUUGACCGCCUGGGGAGUACGAUCGCAAGAUUAAAACUCAAAUGAAUUGACGGGGACCCGCACAAGCGGUGGAUUAUGUGGAUUAAUUCGAUGCAACGCGAAAAACCUUACCUACCCUUGACAUGUAUCGAAGCCCGCAGAAAAGCGGGGGUGCCCGAAAGGGAACGAUAACACAGGUGCUGCAUGGCUGUCGUCAGCUCGUGUCGUGAGAUGUUGGGUUAAGUCCCGCAACGAGCGCAACCCUUGUCAUUAAUUGCCAUCAUUUAGUUGGGCACUUUAAUGAGACUGCCGG